GCGCGCAGCGGGCGCGGCCGGCGGCAGCGGGAGCACGCCGGAGGACGGGGCUCGGCGCAGGCUGCCCGCUCAGCUGGGAAAAUCCUUUCCGGAUCCUAACAGAGUGAAGAUUUACAAAGAAAAUUCACUGUAUAAACAUCUUGCCCAAGAAAGGGAAGUUCAUCCUUAUUCCAUCUACAGGAUCUGGGUGCCAAGAGAAACAGGAACCCCUUCAUGCUGGCCAAAGUAAUGAUAUACAUUAAGAAACAGUCUCUGAUGGCACCUGUGAUUAAAAUGAACAGUAACUGAAAAUUGAUAGUUCUGGAUCUCACUGUUGAUUUGUUACCAUCUUAGCUUCAUCAGGUGAAAGAAUAAGAUGGUCAAAAUCAGGAGCUCCUUCACACUGCAACCUGGGACUGGUGCCAGCUGCACAAGAUAACAGACAAGAAAUUAGAAAAGAGUAGUAUUAUGGACCAGAUCCACCAAGAAAUUCAGGUGCUGAAGUAUUGAUGCAUUGUGCAUUUGAAAGCUUUGUGUGGGAAAAUAAAUUAGAGCCUGAAAAACUCAUAACUCAGGUAAAGUCCAGUGACACCUUUGCAGGUGAGUAUGCUGGGGUGAAGAACACCAUUACCAAAUUUUGUCAGAAAGCAAUACUUGCUAGAGUUUUUAUGUUGACCCUGAACUGAGAAGCGUGGUCUGAGAACAGCAUUUUGGUACCAGCUACCCAGGUAAGACAGAUUGACUGCUAUCCUCUAUGUAGGCCAUGGUGGGAGGGAGGCCUGAGGAAGGAAGAGAGGAAGGAAAAGAACUGUCCUGCUCUGCCCUGGCAAGCAAGAGAUCUUCUCCAUCUGUAUGGUAGCAAGUAAACUGGGAAUAGUCAGGUUAAAAUUGAGGAGCUUUAUCAUACUUAAAUCUCUGGUACACCUUCAUUUUUAUGUCCACUUCUGCAUGGAUGAAGAACAUAAGGUAUGCUGUACAAAAGACAGAUACCAAUAAUGCUGAGGUUUGGUAACCAGUUUGUCUUCUCCUAUGCUCUUCUGAAAAAGAAUAAAGAAAAGGAAAAUCAAGAAUAAGACCCACAAUUUAAGAGUGAUAGGAGACUUGACUUCAUCCACUUAUAAACACUGAAAUCCAGCUCCCUGAUGAUGAUUGGAUAAACCAAAUAUCCUGCAUACGUGAGGAAGAAAAGGAAUUACUAGUAUCAAAAAAAGCUGGUUAAGAGAAUCUAGGUUUGAGGUAUGAUGAAAGAAGUCCCACCAUGUGGGAAAGAAGUUCUACCAUUGUGUCCCACUAUGACUC